rnacentral:rRNA from 1 species
GCUCCAAUAGCGUAUAUUAAUGUUGUUGCAGUUAAAAAGCUCGUAGUUGGAUUUCUGGUCGGAUUACCUGGGCGGCUCCGCAAGGGGUCGUGCUUGGGUGACUCCGUCCAUCCUCAGGAGGGCGCCUGGUGGUAUUAAUUUAUCGCUGGGUGACCGCCUGUCGUUUACUGUGAACAAAUUAGAGUGUUCAAAGCAAGGUG